rnacentral:rRNA from 1 species
UGGGGAAUAUUGCACAAUGGGCGCAAGCCUGAUGCAGCCAUGCCGCGUGUGUGAAGAAGGCCUUCGGGUUGUAAAGCACUUUCAGCGGGGAGGAAGGCGUUAAGGUUAAUAACCUUGGCGAUUGACGUUACCCGCAGAAGAAGCACCGGCUAACUCCGUGCCAGCAGCCGCGGUAAUACGGAGGGUGCAAGCGUUAAUCGGAAUUACUGGGCGUAAAGCGCACGCAGGCGGUCUGUCAAGUCGGAUGUGAAAUCCCCGGGCUCAACCUGGGAACUGCAUUCGAAACUGCAGGCUAGAGUCUUGUAGAGGGGGGUAGAAUUCCAGGUGUAGCGGUGAAAUGCGUAGAGAUCUGGAGGAAUACCGGUGGCGAAGGCGGCCCCCUGGACAAAGACUGACGCUCAGGUGCGAAAGCGUGGGGAGCAAACAGG